UACCAGCACCCCGAGUGGUCGGGACGAUUAUUGGGCCUAAAGCAUCCGUAGCCGGUUCUACAAGUCUUCCGUUAAAUCCACCUGCUCAACAGAUGGGCUGCGGAGGAUACUACAGAGCUAGGAGGCGGGAGAGGCAAGCGGUACUUAGUGGGUAGGGGUAAAAUCCGUUGAUCCAUUGAAGACCACCAGUGGCGAAGGCGGCUUUCUGGGCCUUACCUGACGCUGAGACGCGAAAGCGUGGGGAGCGAACCGG
rnacentral:rRNA from 1 species